rnacentral:sRNA from 1 species
GCCGCGGCAAAAUCCGUGGCCGGGAUUGACAGCCCGAAAGACCAUGAGGCGCAAACGCGCCGCCAACAUCCGUUGGGUGCGUUUUUU